CCUACAAUAAAUUGAAGAGAACAGGUAAAAUUUGAUCUUGACGAACAUUUGAACUAGAAAAAAGAUCAGCGAGGACGUUUCUCGUGAUCGAUCUUGGUGACAAUCCCCAGAAAAGCAAAAUAUCCCUAAAGCUGAAGGUAUCAUCAGUUAUCAUGGGAAAGCAAAGGCGUGGUUGUACACAUUCAUCAGCAGCAAUGAAGAUUUCGCGCUUCAAUAUUACUAUGAUUUUCAAUAAAUAUGUGUUGGAAUAAACAAUGUUCUUAAUAAUGGAUUUAUAAUUAGGAAGUUCUACUCUAAUAAAAAUGAAAUUUUUUUGUUGUGAAAGUGGGACGUUACACAAUCAUUUCAGAACGAAACCAGAACCAAUAUCAAGAAUCUGGAACAACAGGUGUCUCAACUUGUCACUUAUGUGGGUCAGCUAGAAUCUCAAGGAAAGUUAUCGGGGCACAUUAAAAAUAACCCAAAGCACAAUCUGAGUGCUAUUUUCUUUAGAAGUGGAAAAGUUAUGAAGGUCCAAGCGUAUCUGAACCAAAAAAAAAAAGUUGAAGAAGACUAUGAAGAAGUUAUGGUUGAAGAAGAAGAUGAAAAAGAUAAAGAAAUAGAAGCUGAAGAAGAAUAUGAAGAAGUUUUGGUUGACAAAGAUGAUGAAAAAAGAUGAAUGAAAAGAAACCCUAAGACCAGACAAUCCAAAUCUGAGGGAGUACAAUCCAGUUGUACUAUUCCCAUCCCGAUUGAAGAAUACCAAGCGUGAGCGAGAGGAUGAGGAUAUAAAUCUUUUGUGAGGUUGAGGUAAAAUUUCCACUUUUAGAUGUUAUCAAACACAUCCCUCAUUAUUCCAAAUUUUUAUAUGAAUUAUGUGUUUCAAAGAAAAGAUUUAAAACUAACGAAACAUUAAAAGCUAGUGAAAAUAUUUCUGCUAUUUGGCAAAAGGGUUUACCUCCAAAGUGUAUGGAUCCGAGAGUUUUCUCGAUUCUUUGUAAAUUGGGCGACCUUAAUUUUCCAAAAGUCAUGCUUGAUCUAGGAGCUUCAGUCAAUGUCCUUCCCUUUUCUAUUUUUGAAUAAUUAAAAUUGAGAACUUUAAAAAAGACCAAGAUAAUUAUCGAGUUGGCUGAUCACUCGAUAGUACACCCAAAAGGUGUACUGGAGGAUGUUCUUGUCCAAGUGAAUAAUUAGAUCUUUGUUGCUAAUUUUUAUAUUCUGGACAUGGAUAAUUUGGACAUAUAAAAUACAAACUCUAUCAUUUUGUGAAGUCCAUUUAUGAAAACUGCAAAAACAAAAAUAGAUGUCUUUAAUGGCACGAUUUCAUUGGAGUUUUAUGAGGAAGUGGUUAAUUUUAAAAUAAAUGAUGAUGAUUUUCCUUCUGAUAAAGUAAAUGUUAGUUAUCUGAGUACCAACAGUCUUUUGUUUGAGGACUUCUGUGAGUUUUCUAAUGUCUCUAUGUAAGAAAUAUUUGUUGACAGGAAAUUAUCUAACAGAUUAGAAGAGCUAGAAAAGGGAAAUAUUAGGAAAAAAGAAGGGAAAUUAGCUGUUGAAAAGAAGUUAAUAGAAGAUGAUAAAUCUGAAGAGGAAAAGGAGCAUCUAACUUCUACUGAAGAAACAUCAGAAAAGGAUCUAAAAGAAAAAGCUAAGCUUGGGGAAGAAGAGGAGAAACUGAUUUCUGCUAAAGAAAAACCAGAGAAAAAACUGAAAAGAAAAUGUAGGAGAUGUGAUUUUUGAUAAGAAACUGUCACACCCCCGAACCGUCAGAAAUGACGGCGGAAACGUCCGGGGGCGAGUGAUGUCAUGUGUAGUAUCACAACAAUUGUAUCAUAGCAAACAUAGUAAACACAACCAAACAUUGAAUACAUAAUAGAAUAAGAUUUACAUUGUCAUUACAAA